CCGCCUCAGCCAGGGCUUUCUGCAGCUGCCCCACGCGGCUCUGGGCCCGGGCACACCUGCACUCUGCCUCGCUCAGCCGGCUGCUCAGGGUCGCCAUCUGGAUGCGGGAGUCAUCCUGGGCAGAAGGACUGAGGACGGCCUGGACGCUGACCCUCAGACCCAGGGACGCGCGGAUGGAUGGACAGCAGGUGUUCUUCCCAGAGACCCCCGGGGGGUGCUGCCGUGGGCGGGAGGACCCCAGCCCCCAUUACCCGCUCCCGCUGGGCUUCCCGGAGCUUCUGCACAAAGUCCUGCAGGACGUCCUGCACGGUGGCCACAUCCAUGAGCUCUGAGCUGCGGCCUCCGGGUGUGGGCGAGGGCCAUCGGAGGGGCGAGUGGGGCCUGGCCGGGGGGCUGGUACCCUGUUGCCCAGGGAGAGCCUGGGAGCUGUCGGAGCCUGCGGGAGGUGACAGCGGAGGGGUCGUGGACAGGAACACAGUGACAGAUACACGCCCUUCCCCUUUCCUCUCUGCUGCCCCAGCCAUGGGAGGUUGGGGAGACGGCCACAGGCUCCUACAAUUGCCCGUCCGAGUCCCUCACUGUGCGAGCUGUGAGGCCUGAAAGAGAGGUGCCAGGCCAGGGCCUGAGCUGGGAGAGGGGCCCGCCUGCCUCCACUGAGGACUCUGACCUUUGGUGGGGGAACCAGGCUGCUCCGGGGAGGCCCACGGGCUCUGUCUCUGGAGCCCCAGGCCACGGCGGAGUGUGGAGCACAGCCGGCCCAGCUGGGCCUCCGCAUCCUGCCUUGCACCCUCAGCCUGGGCCAGCUCCUGCUCCAGGCUGUGGAUUCGGUGACAGGCCUGGUCCAGGCGAGCCUGGAGAGCAUCAGCCACACCACUGGCUUCCUGCAGCUUCCUGGUGACACUGUGCAGCUCUGCUCGGAGGGUCUGCUCAGCCCCCCGGCUCUCACGGAGGUGCUCCUGGAGCCGCUGUCCAUGGGCCUCCCCUGCGGCCUCCACCUCUGCCAACUUCCUCUGCAAUCCCAGGACCUGUAGGAGGGAUGUUGGGGUGCGCCCGUGGGAGACAGUGAGGAAGUGGGGUGGGCCUCCUCCCUCUGCUCCCCGACGCCCAGCUCCUUCCCUUCUGAGCACAGGCAGCCGUCCCACCUCCUUCCGGGCACCCUCGUGCUUGGCCUCUGCCUCGGCUGCCUGCCUCCGCAGCUCCAGCACCUCCUGCGAGCACUGCGCCUGCAGCUCAUGGGCCUCUCCGCUCCUCCUCUGGUUCUCGGCCUUCAGUGUCCUCACCUGGGAGCGUGGGGCCGCACGGACAGGGUCACUGGUCUCUGUGCUGGAACCCAGGCAGCCUCCCUGCCUCCUGCCUCCGCUCACACGUCCCUUGAGAGCAGCUGGCCACACUUAGGGAGGCUUGGGCUAAGGGGCCCCAAAGGACCUUGCCCUGGGAGUUGUCACCCUCAGCCACUCUGUAGACACCUACCUGGGACCUCCUCGGAACCUCCUUGGAGGACCUGGGACAAGGAGGAGGCUCAGGUGGGGCGGGGUGGGCACUGAUUAGGGAGUGUGGGCAGUGGCUGGGGUGCACUGGAGCCAACUGCCCUGAGGCCGCCAUGAUAGGAGGGAGCCAGGCCUUGGGGGGACCCGGCUUGCCAGCACCCUGCCCUGCAGAGGCCAAGCCUCCCCUCUAGCCUGCCUGAGUUCCCGAGCCCCACCGGAAGGUGUUGCAUGUAGGAUACUUCCGUGUGCUGCUGUGCAUGGUUCCCUUCCUCCUCGCUAAAGCAUUCCUGGUUUUGCCCUCUCCAGGCUUGUCAUCUGUGCCCCAUGGGGACAGACCCAACCAGGGACCCUGUGAGCCUGAGCAGGGCAUGGCCCAAAGUCUGGGGACAGAGCGGUUCAAAGGCGGCAGCAAGGCCAGGGCUGGGGGCUCCCCUGGGAGGAGCCGGGACCCACCAGGCGGGAGGGUGCCUGGAUGGAUGUUGACCCCUCCCUGCCGCCCUACCUGUCUGUGGAGUUCCCGGAGCUCCUGACGGGCGUCCCCCCGCGCCUGCUCCAGCUCCCACAGGUGGGCCCGCAGUGCACUGGCCUCCUGCUGCAACGCCGCCUGGGCCUCCUCCAGGAUGAGCAGCUUCUGCUCCUUCUCCUCCUUGGACCGCUUAAAACUGACGAGGGUGCCACAGGCUGGGGCCCCCUCACCUCCUGGUGGGGCCAGCACAGCUGCCCAGCAGGUCUCUGCCUCCCCUAGUGAGGCACUGGCCCCAGUCUUGACUCUGCACAGUGUCCUCAAACUCAGCCUCUGCAGGGUUCCCUGUCACCUUACAGACAUAUGUCCACCCAGGUCCCAGUGCCGGCCGCAUGGCCCCUGUCCACUAUCCACCUCUUCAGCCCCUCCUCACCUCAUCCCUCCCUGUCUCCCCCUCUCUGUCACACUCCCGGACGCUCAACGUCCAGCCUAGCCUGGUACCUCUGCCACCUGCUGUGAGGGCUGUGCCGUCCAGCCCAGCUGCCCCACAGAGGCCUUUCUAGAGCCCCAGCCAGGCCCUUGGCCUCCCUCUGCUCCCCAGCUCUGCACCACCUCCUGGAGGACACCUGUGACCUAUCUUGCCUGCUGGAUGGGAACUCCCUGUGGGCAGGGACAGAUGGUGGCCCGCAGCUCGCUGUUGAAAAGCAACAGUACGUCCUUCUCGCGGGCCUCGUCACUCAGCGCCCGGCGGGCCUCCUGGGCCUCCCUGUGCAGCCCCUCCCGGCUCUCCUCGACGCCCUGCAGCUCCUGGCGCAGUGCGGCCAGUCCCUCCUGGGCCACGGUCAGCUGUGCCCGCAGCCUCUCAGCCUGGGGAGGACCAUUCAGCUCUAGAGGCCCGCUGGGGACCGCUGCUCCAGGGAUAGCCACAGGGGCCUGUGGCCUCUGACAUGGUGUGGCAGGCACAGGUGCCCUGCCCAACUUGGUCCCCAUGUGCUUUGCUCACCCCAUGGAGCCACCAAUCCCUAGUGCUGCGGAGGCUGCAGGGUGGCUUCCACGGGCUGAGGCAGGGCCAGCCUAAGAGCCCAGAAGACCCCACCUUGAGCCCCUGGGCCCGGCCCCACCCUGCGGCCUCUCUGGACCCCCAGGACGCUGACCACUGGUAAGCAAGGCCUACCUGGGAUGUGGCUCAGCACACAUGUCUGCACUGUCACUGCCCGGGGCCCUUCCCACCUCCUGCCCCCGGCGUCUAGUCCUCUCCUUAGGUGACAGUGUGGUGCCCAGGCCGCUGCCUGUCCUAGUGUGGGCAGCAGCCUCAGCAGGCAGGCUGGGCCUGACCCUGGCACAGUGACCCUGGCCCAGUGACCCCGGCACAGUGACUCUGCCACAGUGGGGGCUCACCCACUCCCUUGGCCCUCCUUCCCCCGUUGGCUUGGGAGGCAGUGGGAGGAGGAUCUCUGGCGAUGGGGGGGGCAGUGGGAGGAGGGUCUUGGUUUCCCGCUCCGGACACCAGGCAUCUCACAGUGCCCAGGAGAACCCAGGGGUGGGGUCCGGAGGACAGUUGCAGCCUGGCAGGAAGGCCCUCCCCAGCACCUACGCUCUGGGGGUGGGGACUUGCUGGGGCUCGGCCCUGGCGCCCAGUCUCCUGCCUCCCAGGUCUGAGCUCUGGGCCUGACCAGAAACCCUGGAGAAGGCUCCAUUCUGGCUCUUGUGUGUCCCAGAGGAAGAGGCAGAGGUAGCCAGCGGGGCAUGCCCAGAGAUGGAAGCCACAAAGACUCCGCGAUGUCAAGUCGCUGGCUUGACAAAAGCAAACCCCUCUUUCUGGCUGUUUUCACGGGAUAUUGUCCAGGCCCCCGACCGGCCUGGCUCCCGAGGCUGCCGCUGUUAUUGUUGUUCUGUUUUUGGGAAGGGCCAGAGCCUCCCCUCCGCUCCCCUCCACCCCCACACGUGGGAGCCAUGACCGUGCUGAGCAUUUUCCGCCGAGCUCAGCAGAAACCCGCCCAGAAGGUCAAGGACCAGCAAAAGGGCCCAUGCAUCAUAAAAGAAACUGUUUUCAUUUCCCAGCGCAGAGGAGAUGAAAACAAGCAAAACAAAUGCAGGGGAGGGCCUGCCCCCACUCCCGCCCCCACCCCACCCGCUCCCUCUGCCUCAUGAGAACAGCCAUCCCUUUUACAGGAAUUUUACGGCCAAAUCACUUAAUGUGAUUAUAAUAAUUAUUUCUUUGCUAGAAAUUGUAUAAACAGCCUCUUUUAAAAAUCUCCUGCAGGGAGGCAGCUCCAGAGCUCUGCAGGGAGGAGGGGCUGUGGAGGGAAAGCAGGGGAGGGUGAGAGUGUGUGUGUGUGUGGGAGUGCGUGUGUGUGAGUGUGAGUGUAUGUGUGUGUGCAUGUGUGUGUGUGAGUGUGGGUGAUGAGUGUGUGUGUGGGCCGGUGCAAGUGUCCACUCUGUACGUGGUGUGCAUACGUGUGUGUGCAUGCAUGUGUGUGCACGUCCGUAUGCCUGUGCAUGCACUACGUGUGUGUGUACGUGUGUGAUGAGCAUGUGUGAUGAGUGUGCGUGUGUGUGUCAUGUGUAUGUGUGCAUGCGUGUGUGAGUGUAUGUGUGAGUGCGUGUGUGUGUGAUAAGUGUGUGUGUGAGAGCCAGUGCAGGCGUCCACUCUGUAUGUGGUGUGCAUACAUGUGUGUGCAUGUAUGUGUGUGCAUGUCUAUAUGCCUGUGCAUGCACUACGUGUGGGUGUACGUGUGUGAUGAGCGUGUGUGAUGAGUGUGAGUGCGUGUGUGUCAUGAGUGUGUGUGAGUGUGUGUGUGAGUGUGUGAGUGUAUGUGUGAGUGCGUGUGUGAUGAGUGUGUGUGAGAGCCAGCGCAGGUGUCCACUCUGUACGUGGUGUGCAUACGUGUGUGUGCAUGUAUGUGUGUGCAUGUCUGUAUGCCUGUGCAUGCACUACGUAUGUGCAUGUGUGCGCACACAUGCGUGUGCACUGUGUGGUGCACGUUUCUGUGCACGCCUGUGUGCACUGUGUGGUGUCCAUAUGUGAUUCCAGCGUGAGUGUGUGUGAGUGCGUGAGGCUUGUGUGUCUGCAUUCAGCAUGCACACACCACUCUGAGUGUCGAGUGUACACCGGUGUGUGUGGUCUCACUGCGUGGAUGAUGUGUAUGCAUGUGUGUGCACACGUGUGGACCUCAGGCAGGGUCUGAGAGACUGGAAGUUCCUCCAGUUUAAAGGUUGUGAAAAACGUUAUGGUUUCCAUGGUGACCCUGGGCCAGCCUGGCGCCUGGACGGGCUCUGCUUGCUUUUCUCUGUGAUUGUUCCUCUUGUCCCCCUCAACCGUCCUCACCUUUUAGCCCCCACUCCCUUUCUGGGCACCCUGCUCUGCUCUGCUCCUCUGAGAGCCUGAACUUCCCAUGAGGCCUGCGCUCCCUUCCUUGAGGCACCCCCACCCUCUCCACACCUCCCCUCCCCCUCCCCCGCUGCCCCCAGUUUUGCAAUCUCGUUUUGCUUCCCCGUUGGUCGCUGACCGGGCCUGACUUUGAAAUCUGUUGAAAGGAGACCUUUCUCCUUGGGGCCAAUGUAAACAGCCGGUCAUGUUAACUCAUGUUCUCUUCCUCUCUCAGCCUGCCUCCCGGGGGUGCUUGGGGAGGGCUGAGCCCCUCUCCUCACGCUCCCCUGCCGGCCGGCCCGGCCCCUGGGGCGUGGUGUGCGCCAGCCGCUCGCUCCAGCACCAGGUCAGCUGCGCAGCCCCCAGCCUUGGCAAGCAGCCCAGGGAGUGUGCGAGGCCGCCCCGUCCCCGUGGGCCCCGCUGGGGCUCCAGCUGACCCUCUCCUCCUCUAGCCCAGAUCCGCGUGCCCUCCUGCCCUUGCCACACACAGGCGUCCCCCCGUCCUGCCAACCCCCCUCAGAAAUGCCUCUCCGAUCUGCCUGCCUGCUGAGCCCAGGUCCCGGAGGCUCUCGCGUAGGGCCGUGGUCUCCCUCUGAUGGGCUGUGAUGGCAUCCUCAAACUGGGCCUGGAGGGCCUUCAGCUCCUCAGUCGUGGCACUGAUGGUGGCCUGCGGGGAGAAGGGAGCCCACGGUGGCACCAGGGAGCUGGGCCCAGCAGUGGAGGGUGAGGCUGCUGGGAUGAGGAGACGUCCACGGCCCCUGACAGCUGUGAUGUGUGAGUGCCCACGGACACAGCAGGAGGCAGCCCCUCAGCUCAGCCUGCGCCCUGGGGCAGAGCCCAUCCCUACAGGGACCACCACACACUGGGCAGCUCUACCCUCCAUUUGGGACUGAGCUCAGCUGGAGUCGGCUCCCUGUCGCACACACCACCCGAGGUGUCCUCUCGGGCCUUGGGGCAGUGUGGCCAGCAGGGAACCUCGGGCCAGGAGGCCCCAGGCUCGGCCCAUGGCCCCUUGUUCAUGGACAAAUACCACCUUCUUCACCCCAAGCCCCAGGCCCCUCGGGACACCGCCCCGCUUCCUCUCAAGGCCCUCCCCACUGCACCCCUGCCCAGGUUGCGGCAGCAGGGCAGAUGGGGCUCAGGGGGUCUCAGCUUCCUGGGCCUCAGUGUCCUCAACAUGAAGGGUCCGAGCCCUGCCCUACUCAGGCUCUGCACCCCUGGGUUCAGGGGACCGGACCAAGCCUCCAGGCAGCAGCAGGCGGCUGGCGGGGGGCGGCUGGUGGGGGAUGGCUCCCUCCAGAGCUGGCUUUGUGUUCCUGGGAGCACAGGUGCCCACAUGGCUGCCCCUGUGCCAGAUCUCUGGAGCCCCUCCUGUCCACCUGGAUUCUGCUAGGGUGGGGGUUCCUGCAGCCUGUGCCCCCUGCUCUUGGGAAAGGAGCCAUGCUGCUGCCUCCUGUCGUCAUUCUCUACAAACCCCUCUGGUCUCUCUGGACUGACAAGGGCCAUCUUGGGUGACUAGGCCAUGGCUCUGUGCCUCAGCAUGCCCCAGCACUGCCAGUGAUGGGUGCCCCUGAGGCCUGGCUGCAGGAUACCCCUGUGAGGGCCUCGGGGACAGGGCAUCGGCUGGGAGCCCGAUGGCAGUGGUGACUCAGCCUAGGGGCGCACGCUGUCCUGUCAUCUGGCGCCUGGUGCUCCUUGGCCGGCAUUCCUCUCCUCCCGCUCCUCUCAACAGUUUUAAUUUCCAUUUUCUGAGCCGAGGUGGCAAAGGAACCCUUAACGAGCUCCCCAGGGAGGCCGGCUGGCUGGCAGGCCUGGUACCGAGUCCGGGGGAGACUCAGGGCCAGCUCAAGAGAAGGCUCCAGAAGCCAGCACUGGCUCCAGAGAAGGCCCCUCUGUGAGCCAGAGGCGUCAGCUCCCAGGGCCCCAGGAGGGCUUUCCUGGGUCCCUGCCCACGGGGUGGAGCCGAGAGAGCUGCUGGGCCAGUGGUCGGGAGGAGGGAGGGGCACAGUCACAGGCCCGAUGCCAAGCUUGGUCCUCCUGGGCCCCGUGGAACCCUCCAGGCCUCAGGGGCAGGAACAGAGCAGGGUGGGGCUUCAUGGAGUGAGGGGCGAGUCUCCCCUGGGCUGCCAGGAGCUCCUCUGGGCAGCCCUGCUUGGAGGGACUAGGAGUCCGGGUUGUGGCAUCAGGCAGGAGGAGGUGAAGCGACACUCCAGCAGCCGCCUCCUCAUUGCAGCGCCCUCUCCUGCUGCGCAGUGCCCUGGGGAUGGGGCACAAGCCCUCCAUCCCGGCUCCGAGUCACCGAGCGUCCCCCAAGGCCCCGCUGCCUGGACGCCCCGGCCCCCCAGCAGGCGGCCUGCGCGUGCCUCUGUGCAGUCAGUGAGAAGGGCUCCCGUUCAGAAUGGGCAGAGAAGGGGGCUGCCUCCCACACCUGGCACCAUGGCCUGUGUUCUGUUCACUGCACACUGAACCAUACAUUCAACGCCAGUCAGGUAGGUGUCCAACCCUGCGUCCUUGCCAGGGACAGGGAGGAAAGGCUCGCCUGAAUUUAAAAUAAGCCAACAAGUACGGGAAUGAACGGCCUCGUCACUGAACAUGCUGGGAGCUGGAAGGACAGAGGCAGGAGGCAGGUGUGGGCCCAGCUAAUGGGGUGUGUGUGGCCAGGGAGGGCAGAGAGCUGGGGGUUGGCGAUCAGCCUCGCCCUCAAUCCUACCUGUUCCUGGCAAGGAGAGGAGUGGCGUCCGGUGCCUUGAGCCCAUUCCCUCCCUGCCCAGGGCACCCUCGCACCUGUGUCUGUUCAGGGCCAGCCCCUGCCACCCAGGACAGCAGCCCCGACCUCAACACAAACAGCCCCUCCUCAGGCCGCCUGGGCCCUUGGAGAUCCUGCUGUAACUCCUGCAUCUAUGUCCUAUCACUGGGCUCUGGCCACCCUCGCUGUGAGCCCUGCCCAGUCUCUUCAUCUCCCAUGCGGGACCUGGUGCCACGUCACAGAUGGGCUGAAGCCUUGGAGUUCUGCAAGCAGUAACAGUGGGUGUCCAGCCUUGCCCACGAGCUGGAGGCACAGGCCUCAGAGUCCUCCUCCCCUGCUCCCCAGAGCCCUCCUCUCCAGAGCACUCCUCCCUAUAGCCCUCCUGCCCAGUGCCAUAUUUGCUGCUGCCUGUCCAGCCCCCUGGACUUGGGCUCCAGGGGAGGACCCAGGGGUCCCAGGUGACCCCCGCUGGCAGCCUGCAGCAGCCUUUGUGCAUGGGAGGGCCUCUGUUCACUGGCUGAGGGUGGGCGGCUGCUUGCUGGGGGGCUGUCCUAGCCCCUCCGCGGACGCUUCUCUCCUGGCUCCGCUCAGGACUCAAUGUGGGUGUCCUUUCCUGCCGAGAGUUUCCUCAGGUGCAGGGCCAGCCGCCUCGGGUUGUUUCUCCUUUGGAAGGAUCCCUCUGGUGAGUGAGUUCCACAAGGCUGGUGCUCAUGUCCCCAGCUGUGCUUUUCUAUGAGCAGCUCCAGUGCACAUAUGGGCUCAGCCACUUGCUGCUGUUGGCUCAUGGGAGGCCCCCAGCUGGGCCAGGCCCCCUCUCUCUGGCCCCUGCCAGCCCCAAAGCUAAGGGAGAACUGAGCCAGGUAAAGUCCUGGUACCCACUGCUUUGGUUCACUCGGAUCUUUCCUGCCCAUUGAGUGCCCCUCCCACCAGGAGCCCUGGAGGCACCUGAGGGAAACUGAGGCUCAGGAAGGGAGGGGAUGGAGAGGGUCAUGCCACUGGGACCAGGCAGGAGGGGUGGCCCCCUGGGGUCUGCCAGCACCUGCUUGGCUGUGCACGUGGCCUGGCUGCAUGGGGCUCACCUGCGCUUGCUCCUGCUGGCUCUGUGCCUCCUGCUGUACCCGCUCCAGCGUCCUCCUGGCCCUGGAGAGCUCCUCGCUCAGAAGGCUCCGCUCUGUUUCUUUCAGGGACAGGGCCUGAACAGGACGGGUUUGGGGGCCUUCAUGAGCCACCCCCAUCCCUCUAGGCAACACUUGCUGCAGUGCAGAGAAGAAAGCUUAAAAGCCCGAAAAUGCUCCAUCUCCCUGAUGGUGUGGGAGACGCGUGCCCAUCUGGGGGGAGGGCAGCCCAGAGACACGUGUGCACCUGUGUGGGCUGACCUAUGCACAGUGUCACCAAUGUCUGUGACAUUGCUGUAACGGCAACAAAGCUGGAGGCAACCCAGACGCCCGUGGAAGGAAGAACAGCCACAGGAAGACCCAGUCCUGGCAGCUCAGCAUGCAGCCCAGAAACAGAAGAACAAAGCUGCAGAUACACAGCUGGGAAAGGCCACCGAGAUGCUUUGAUAAGUGAGAAGAGGAAAGCCCAGGAGCUGGCAUGGACUUUUCAUUCCUUUUGUAUUAAAAAUGCAGCGUUGGGGAGGUAACGCUGUAUAUUUCUGUUUGCAAGCAAUCUUUGGAGGGUGUUGCAUAACAGAAGAUGUAUCAGGUCUUUGUCCUGGGUCCUUGGAGGAAGCUUCUAAACCCUGGGGGUUUCUCAAAAGUGUGGAGUGUCUGCAUUAUUCCUGGCGGGCCCCUGGGACCACACCUGAGUUUAUGCUAAUGAGGUGACUCGGGGUGGGCUCCUACUGAAUUUCAGGAUGGGGACUGUGUGCUGAAAGACCCAUUAUUAGAGGGUUGGGGCUUUGAGCCACGGGAUGUCAGCCCAACCUCCCAGCAGUCAGAGAAGUGGGCUUCAAUCACAUAACCAAUCACUCCACCGAUCACGUUACACAGUGAAACCCCAAUAAAACUCUGGACACCAAAAUGCAGUGGAGCCUCCUGGCUGCUGAGCACACUGGGGUGCAGGAGGGUGCUGGGCUGGUUCCACGGGGAGGGUGCAGCAGCCCCUGUCUGUGACGUGCCCACACCUUGUCUCCUCUUCUGGCUGGUCUUGAAUUCCAUGUUUGAUAAUGAAUCUCUAAGAGUAACAAGAGGCUUUCCUGA